UGAGCCAAAGUCAGAUGCUUAACCGACUGAGCCACCCAGGCGCCCCCACUGCCCUGCAGCUCUUUGCAAGAGGCACCCACAGGGGUUCUGUGUUUUUAAUCCUAACUUGGAGCCACCUGAUUUACCGGCCACAUUAAUGGGCCCAUCCUUCUGUUUGGGGCGAGAAGAGGAUGUAACGGCAAUGUCAUGACCAGGAGAACGCUGGCAUCCACCAACCAGCAGAGUUGUCCAGCCAGGGCCGGCUCAAAGUCUCUUCCACAAGCACUGGGCAGGUGCAAUGCCUCAGAAGCCCGCCUGGACACCACCUAACCCCGCCCUCCAGGCUCAGCACUGCUUCGGGAUGGGAGCUCCUCAGCAGCUGGUGACCUCAGACUCUGCCGGCCAAGGGUGGAGCCUGGCCUGGGAACCAGCAUUUUUCAAGAAACACGGUGUUUCAGAUGCAGGGGGUCCUCGAGGGGGCCACCUCGAGAAAUGUGGCCAUAGAAAAGAGGCUGAGAACCCAGAGGAGGAACAGGAUAUGUUGCCAGGAAAUCACAGGACACACUUGGAGGCAAGAGACGAGACCAGAUAAAGAAGCCCCUGGAGGAAUCAGGGCAGGGAUGAGUCAUGGAAGAAGGGGACACUUGAGCUGGGUCUUGAAGCACGAGUAGGAGUUUGUAGGUGGCAGGGCUGUGGGGAAGGUAUCCAGAUCUGGCUCUUGAGCCCACAGUAAUGUUCCCCUUGGCAACGGGUCUUUCACCACCCCCACCCCGGGGGAACUCUACUGCAAGAAGACCUCGGGGGUUUCAUCCUGCCACUUGGGACUGGAGACUUCCCGAGGGCAGGCUUGGCGAUCCUUUGGGCCGCCCCAAGUGACAAGCACAGGGCCUUCCCGGUCAGGAAAAUAAGUUAAUAGUUGAUGGGCUUUAUCAACCGCCCCUGAAUCAGAAAGGAAUCUGCAAGCUAGGUUUCUAUUUGGUCUAGUACGAUCUGCCCCACUCCCACCCCCACCAGAAGUGAACGCCCGGCCAGGACUCCACCCUGAAACCCAGUCCUGAGCUUGAUGGCUCCCAAGCUGGCUGUGUGCACAUCUGCCUCCAAGUGUCCCCUCUGGUAAGGACAGCGGUCAUACUGGAUCAGGGCUGGUCCUUUUGACCUCAUGUUAACUCCAUCCCUGUAAAGACCCCAUUUCCAAAGAAGGCCAGGGUCUGACGUCCUGGGGGUUAGGAUCCCAACCUAACUUUUUCUGGGGACACAAUUCUUCCCUUCCCCCAGGUGCCCGUCCCCUAGGAGGGUGUGCGAGCUGCACACGCUGGUCAGGGCCAGUCUGGAGGCACCAGGGAUACCCCACAAGGGGCCUGAGGAAGGCAGUGGGGAUGGAUGGGACAGGCUACGGGCACUGGGCGCCCUGCUCAGUCCCUGCACAACCCUGCACACGCGAGGGUGUCUGCCUUUCCAGGCCUAAGGCCCCAGCACCCGUGGGGGGCAGGCAGUCAGUUCCAGGGUGGACACCGGUGUUCGAUAUGCCAGUGAGAAUAGAUGUGCUUCACUGAGAGGCUUAUGUAAAAUGACAGCUUUUGGAGAAUGAAGUCCUCAGAUUACAAAAAAAAAAAAAAAAAAGGAAGGGAGGAGGAGGGGGGGGGCCACA